AUUGAACGCUGGCGGCAUGCCUUACACAUGCAAGUCGAACGGCAGCACGGGAGCAAUCCUGGUGGCGAGUGGCGAACGGGUGAGUAAUGUAUCGGAACGUGCCCAGUCGUGGGGGAUAACGUAGCGAAAGCUACGCUAAUACCGCAUACGAUCUGUGGAUGAAAGCGGGGGACCGUAAGGCCUCGCGCGAUUGGAGCGGCCGAUAUCAGAUUAGGUAGUUGGUGGGGUAAAGGGCUACCAAGCCGACGAUCUGUAGCUGGUCUGAGAGGACGACGAGCCACACUGGGACUGAGACACGGCCCAGACUCCUACGGGAGGCAGCAGUGGGGAAUUUUGGACAAUGGGCGCAAGCCUGAUCCAGCAAUGCCGCGUGCAGGAUGAAGGCCUUCGGGUUGUAAACUGCUUUUGUACGGAGCGAAAAGGCUCUCUCUAAUACAGGGGGCUCAUGACGGUACCGUAAGAAUAAGCACCGGCUAACUACGUGCCAGCCGCCGCGGUAACAC
rnacentral:rRNA from 1 species